UGGGGAAUUUUGGACAAUGGGCGAAAGCCUGAUCCAGCAAUGCCGCGUGUGCGAAGAAGGCCUUCGGGUUGUAAAGCACUUUUGUCCGGAAAGAAAUCCUUGGCUCUAAUACAGUCGGGGGAUGACGGUACCGGAAGAAUAAGCACCGGCUAACUACGUGCCAGCAGCCGCGGUAAUACGUAGGGUGCAAGCGUUAAUCGGAAUUACUGGGCGUAAAGCGUGCGCAGGCGGUUUGCUAAGACCGAUGUGAAAUCCCCGGGCUCAACCUGGGAACUGCAUUGGUGACUGGCAGGCUAGAGUAUGGCAGAGGGGGGUAGAAUUCCACGUGUAGCAGUGAAAUGCGUAGAGAUGUGGAGGAAUACCGAUGGCGAAAGCAGCCCCCUGGGCCAAUACUGACGCUCAUGCACGAAAGCGUGGGGAGCAAACAGGAUUAGAUACCCUGGUAGUCCACGCCCUAAACGAUGUCAACUAGUUGUUGGGGAUUCAUUCCUUAGUAACGUAGCUAACGCGUGAAGUUGACCGCCUGGGGAGUACGGUCGCAAGAUUAAAACUCAAAUGAAUUGACGGGGUCAUAGCUGUUUCCU
rnacentral:rRNA from 1 species